rnacentral:rRNA from 1 species
GACGAACGCUGGCGGCGUGCUUAACACAUGCAAGUCGAACGGAAAGGCCCUGCUUUUGUUGGGUGCUCGAGUGGCGAACGGGUGAGUAACACGUGAGUAACCUGCCCUUGACUUUGGGAUAACUUCAGGAAACUGGGGCUAAUACCGGAUAGGAGCUCCUGCUGCAUGGUGGGGGUUGGAAAGUUUCGGCUGUGGGGGAUGGAUUGGCGGGUUACCAGCUUGAUGGUGUGGUAGUGGUUUACCAAGGCUUUGACGGGUAGCCGGCAUGAGAGGGUAGCCGGCGACAAUGCGCCUGAGAUAGGGCGCAGUCUGGUACGUGAGGCAGCAGUCGAGAAUAUGACACAACGGGGGGACGCCUGAUGCAGCAACGCCGCGUGCGGAAUGCCGGGCUUCGGGUUGUAAACCGCUUUCGCCGGUGACGAAGCGUGAGUGACGGUAAUGGGUAAAGAAGCAACGGCUAACUACGUG